rnacentral:lncRNA from 1 species
AGCUUCUCGUGGUGGAAACUCAUCAUCUUUGCAUUUCUUUGUCACAGGAGCUCCACACAACGCCAAGUUGCCUAGGAAUGAAUCUUUAGUAAAAGUAUCGAAAUGCCUGCCUUGUGGAAUUUCUCCAGAAAGAUUGUUGGUUGAAAGGUUCAAGGUUGAAAGAAAUUCCAAAGUACUCAAUUGCCGAGGAAUCUUACUUGUCAUUCGAUUUGAAGAGAAAUCUAAAGAUUCGAGGAGACUCAUGUUUCCCAAUGAGGAUGGGAUAUGGCCCGUAAGACUGUUAUGGGAAAGGUUGAGCAGUCGAAGUGAUUUAAAUUCACCAAUGGUCUCUGAAACUUCUCCAGUAAACUUGUUGCUUGAUAAAUCUAUACUUGUGUAUAUAUAGAGAAUUUUUUUCACUUCAAGCUCUAUUCCUUUGACAACUAGCGAAACAGAAGCUUCAUAAAAGGAACCGCUUAGGAUACUGGUAUUUAAACCAACUCCUUCAUCUGAGUCAUCCAUAAGUUUAAAAUUAUCAAAAAAGUUGAUUGGUAGAUUGCCACUGAAUUGAUUGUGAGAGAGAUCCAUGAUGCGCAACUGGGAAAAUGGAUUUUCCAUCUUUUUAACACUUAUGUUGCCAUGAAAUCUGUUUGACCGCAAGACAAGAAUUUGUAGCUGUGGAAGAGCCGCCAACCAUGAUGGAAAAGAGUCCUUUAUUUUGUUGUUUCCAAAAUCUAGAAUUUGUAAUUGCUUACAAUUGGCCAAGGUCGAGGGUAUUGAUCCUUCAAUGUGAUUGUUGUUGAUGUUGAAAGUAGUCAAUUUACAUGAGUUUGCGAUGAUUUGUGGUAUUGUCCCUUGAAGUUGAUUAUCAUGAAGAUCGAGAAUAUUAAGAUCAAUGCUCGUAUUUGUGAACAAACAGUGUGGAAGUGCACCCCCUAACAUGUUACUUGACAAAUCAAGAACCCAAAUUUCCGUCGUACAAAAUGUUGGUAUUAUCCCUUUAAAUUGAUUCUUGCUGAGAUUGACUACUAUAGUCUGGUUAAGAUUUUCCAGGCAACGGGGAAGUGAACCUUUUAAUUCAUUACUUGACAAAUCAAGAUAUCGAAGAGAUGUCACUUUGCACAGUGUUGGGGGAACUUCUCCUGUCAAUAUCAGAAAAAUAGUAAAAAUAAUUAGAAAAAGUGAUAGGUUUGUUAAAUUUCCAAUAUUGGUCUAGAUUCUCACCAAACAAUAUUAAUAAAUAGUCUAUAUAAACACAAAGGAAAAUAAAAUAAAAAUAAAAGGGGAGCAAACAUGUUAAAAAGUUGUAGAGCUUACCAGAAAAGUUAUUCCUCGAUAAAUUGAUGUCAGACAAGCUGGGUGUAUGGUUCCCAAAGUUAGUAGGAAUGAUGCCGCACAACCUAUUAGAAGAAAGGUUAAGGGAUUCCAAUGUACCUAAAUAAGGAACUGGAUCAGGCAGCUCUCCUGUCAAUUGGUUAUUUUCGAGAUUAAGAUAGUGGAACAGUAGGUUCCAAAUCUCAGGUGGAAUAGUUCCACUCAAUUGGUUAUUUCCGAGAUCAAGAUCAUCGAGCAUUGUUAAGUUCCCAAUCUCAGAUGGAAUAGUUCCAUUCAAUUGGUUGUUGCUGAGAUCAAGAUAUGUCAAAUCUAUCAAGAGACCAAUAUCAGGUGGAAUAAUUCCUGUCAAUUGGUUGGUCUUGAGAUUAAGAGAAUCAAGCAGUGUUAAGUUCCGAAUCUCAGGUGGAAUAGUUCCACUUAGAUUAUUGGAGUGCAGACGUAACCAUUCCAAUUUGACCAGGUUCCAAAUUGUUGCUGGAACUGAACCUUCUAGAUGGUUUUGAGACAAGUAUAAUCCCUGAAGCUGAUUCAAGUUCCCUAUCUCUCUGGGAAUUGUUCCUUUAAGAUCAUUAUCUUGCAGAUAGAGGCUUGUAAGAUUUGUCAACAUACCAAUUUCAGAAGGAAUAUUACCACUCAAGGCAUUGCCUCCUAUGUGCAGUAAUUUUAACUCGGUCCAUUUGGUGAAGAGAUUAGGGGAGAGCUCACCAGAAAGAUAAUUGUCAUCUAGGUAUAGUUCAGAAAUCUGGGUUAGAUUCGAAAAGGAGUAAGGCAGAGGCCCAGCAAGAGAAUUAUGAGAUAGAGACAAGACAUUGAGCCUGGUACACAACCCAAGCUCAGGGGGAAUGCUAGAGUUCAAAUUGUUAUCACCAAGAUCAAGUUCUUGAAGCUCCGUAAGUUGACCUAUGAAGGAGGGAAUAUUCCCUGCAAAGGAAUCAUCAAACAAAUAAACAACUUUAUUUUAAUUGCGACUCCGGGAAAUACAACUCUGAUUUUUUUGUAACUUCUGGACAUGACUAAUUUAGUAAGGAAUGUUACCAUCUAUAUUGUUGCUGCUGAGAUCCAAGUGCUGAAGUUGUGUUGCAUUUCCAAUAUCUACUGGUAUACUGCCUGAUAAGUUGUUGCCGCUCAUGUCCAAAUAAGUGAGACUUGGAAAUGAGGAGAAGUUGAAGUGAGCAAGUGUUCCAGAGAUUCUUAGAUAGUAAAUGUUGAGCUCAGAAACUGUUCCUGCAGUAUUGCAGGUAAUGCCAGUCCAAUUACAAAGGUAACUGAGAUUGUUUGAAGACCAAGAAUUGAGUGAAGAAGAGCUGAAUAAAGUGUCCUUCCAUUUGACAAGGGCUUCUCCUUGGGUGGUUGGUGAUGAUACUAUAUUUAGUGGAAGUACAACAAGGAAUAGUACAAGAAGAAGAGACUUGUUAACUAUUCCCAUGAUUGUUUACUCCGUUCCUGUAUUUUGUGGAGUAACAUACUAUGGGAUUUAUAGAACUCACAUGUGAACUGAAGGCCAAGGGUUUGCUCUGCAACUGAUUACUCUCAGUGACUUUCCUUGAAAUGGCUGUUCAAGCUGCUUUUGCUACGCGGACUUACUGUUUUUCGACAAGAACUUUAAAUAACACAAAGUAAGGACUUUAUAUUAAUUUACGUUAGUUCAGUCACAUUUCUGCUGUUAAUUCUAUAUACACGUUCCUACUUUCUAUGUUUUUUAGGAAUCAUAUAGUCUAGAAAAGGAGACCAGGUCCUGGAUUUACUUUACUAACAAAUCCAAUAAACAAAUAACCCACUAUAACAAAUCAAAUAUUGAAAGGUUCUUCCAUGAUCGUUAAAUUAUACUCCCUCCGUCCCACCCAUUUCUUAUCAAAUGGGUUGGGCACGGAGGUUAAGGAAUAUGAAUAAAAUAGUUGAAAAGAGGAAGAAAAGUGGGUAAAGUGGUGGGACCCAUUAAUUUUUAAUGUAUAAAAAGAAGAUAGUGGAGUAAAAGUAGUGUGAAAAGGAAAAAAAAGUGAAGAAGUAGUGGGACACAUUUACUAUUUUUGGUAAGUUUUGAAAUGUAAAGAAUUGGAUGGGACACCCAAAAAAAGAAAGUGUAAAGAAAUGGGUGAGACGGAGGGAGUAUAUGGCUAGUGUUUUCUCUUUAGUCAAAGCUGGCAUGACUUGAUUUAUUAGCUCAUAAGUUUGGUAGAUAAUCAGAGCUGUAAACAUGAGAGUUGGGCCAGUACAGCAUAGUAUCUUGUGGAAGAUGUUCCUGUAUUACUGGGUCUGGAAGAUGUAGCAGAUGUAAAGAAUGUUGACCCACUACUUUUGCUUUUCCUUAUAGCUCAUAAUAAAACAAGAAGCAAAGACUUAUAGAGUCAAGUCAAUGAUGCCCGACAAAGAAACCUGGAGACUAGUGACAUGAAAGAUGAAGCUGCCCUGAGAACUGCGGAGAAAAGUAUUCUUGCAGAAAUAAUUGCUUUAGUCCCACUACACUGGCUUGACUUCACAAGGUCUUUGGUGGGUGAGAGAUCACAGCUCAUGUUUCAGUUUUGUAACCGAUCUAAAAAUAUAAUUUCGGGUUAUUCCGGAAAUUUGAUUUAUAACCGAAAUCAAAUGAAAGCAAGGUACAUAUUAGUGAUGAGAAUUCAGCAAACUAGCAGCAAAUAACUUAUCACAUUUGUCUGUGUUAGAGCAUCUCCUAUCAUGAAAAUACCUUGGCUAAAAGUCUACAUUAGAGCAUCAGGUUCACUAUAAUGGUUAGUUAAAGUGAUAUAAAAUAUUGAUUAAUUAAAUAUGAUUUGCAAGAUUUGUAUAAGCACGUCCAACAAAAUCUUAAACAUGGACUGAGACACGUCUGGAGUAUCAUUUUUGAAGCAGGAGCUAUUGAAGUGGGCACUUUCCCCAGUGAAGGGCAAAGAAUGACAUGUAAAGCGAUUAAGAGUUGGAGGGCCAAAGUCGAAUGAAGACCAUUGGCCUGUAUAUGCGCAUUAGAGCAACAAUUAAGAAGUUCUAGCGAGGAAAAUGGUGCGGUUGAAGAGAAUGGGGAGAGUUGGGAAGCAAAGGGCUUAUGUGUUAUCACUGUCCAUUUUCCUUACUAUUUGAUGUAUAUAAUAAUUUCCAUCUUCCAUCAAUUGCUUAUCUGGUCUGGUACAGAAUGAUUCAUAUCUAGUAGGAAGCAGAACAGUCAAAUAGGGAAAAAAAACUGUGAACAUCAUCUUCAAGAAAAGAAAUGAAGAAAAACAUUUUCCCAACUAAACAGAGUUUUAGAUUAACUUUUGUUUUUAAUCUCCAGUUGUUUUUGUAGCACCUAAAAAGCUACUCCCUCCGUUCUCUUGAGUUUUAUACAUUGGGCGACGGGGACGUGACACGUACUUUAAUGCUCCUAUAAAGUAUAGUUCUAUAACUUUUUCUUAAGAUUUUUUUUUUUCUGAAUAAAAGUUUGAAUGUUAUAUUUUUAUUCAGAAAAAGAAAAUUUUAAGAAUAAGUUAUAGAACCACAUUUUACAAGAGCAUUGAAGUGCGUGUCGAGCAGUGAAAAAGAAACGUAUAGAAUUAAAUGGGACAGAGGGAGUAUGGAUUUAUACAUUCUUGACACUUGACAUGCUCAGUUCUUAGCUAAUAAUAAAACAGGGAGCAAAGACUUGCUAGUUAGCAAUGGGCAUGAAGCACUAAUGCUACGCAGACUUACAGUCUUUCAAUUUUACUGGAUUUUCGUUACUAACACACCCACUAUAACCCUGUAAUUAUGAAUGAGAACAAAAAGGUUCGUCCAUUAACUUGUAAUACUUUCAAAAAAUGAAAGGUUCUUCCCGGAUCUACGUAAUGGAUGGAAAUUAAAGAGUCUACCCUCAAGUUAGUCGCAUUGAACUUGCAAGAGACUCUGAACCCUAGCUACCCGUUUGUUUUUUUUAGUACAGUUUUUGAGAAAGGUUGCAAAAGCCUCAAAAGCUUUAGUUACCUAAGCAAAUCUUGGUACGUUCCACAACAAGCUCCUCGCUGCCAUAUGCAGUAAUAGGGGGGCAAGACUCUAUUAAAGGUAUUGAUAAACAACAUCUCUGACUGUCGCGCAACGUUUGAUUUACUCUCACUUUUUUGGUAGACUCGUAAAUGAGGGAUGCUGAUUUCUAUGUUCUCAGCAGAAGAUUUUCUUUUAGGAUAAUGAAUCAUAUAAUAUCUCAUCUUAAACACAGCUGAUAGCUACAAAUUACAGUUGGAUAGUAGAAUCUAGAUAUUUUUGGCACUUGACAUACUUAUAUUUGUCACUUCAGUUAUGCACACUGAUAAACUUGCAUGUUUAUCUUUUUAUAAUGAAAGCGAACAUACUGAAACAGAACAAAUUUAUUUGGAGUGGCGACAAUUAAUUCAGUACAGUGUGGAAAAUGUGGUUUAAGUGUUCAUCAUCAAUCUCCUGAUCAGUUUAUGCUGAGCUCUUUCAAUGAUACUCACAAACCACCAAGGCUUUAAUGUUGUAAAAACAAUGUAUCCUGUGGACAAUCCGCAUACCAAUCCUAUUCCAUACCCGAUCAGUAUCAUUUUCCAAUCAAACCAAAUAUAGUCAACAUCGUCAUCAGCUUCUCGUGGUGGAAACUCAUCAUCUUUGCAUUUCUUUGUCACAGGAGCUCCACACAACGCCAAGUUGCCUAGGAAUGAAUCUUUAGUAAAAGUAUCGAAAUGCCUGCCUUGUGGAAUUUCUCCAGAAAGAUUGUUGGUUGAAAGGUUCAAGGUUGAAAGAAAUUCCAAAGUACUCAAUUGCCGAGGAAUCAUACCUGUCAUUCGAUUUGAAGAGAAAUCUAAAGAUUCAAGGAGACUCAUGUUUCCCAAUGAGGAUGGGAUAUGGCCCGUAAGACUGUUAUGAG